AUUGAACGCUGGCGGCAGGCCUAACACAUGCAAGUCGAACGAGUGGCGGACGGGUGAGUAAUGUCUGGGAAACUGCCUGAUGGAGGGGGAAAACCACUGGAAACGGUAGCUAAUAGCGCAUACCAUCGGAUGUGCCCAGGUGGGAUGAGCUAGUAGGUGGGGUAAAGGCUCACCUAGGAGACGAUCCCUAGCUGGUCUGAGAGGAUGAACAGCCACACUGGAACUGAGACACGGCCCAGACUCCUACGGGAGGCAGCAGUGGGGAAUAUUGCACAAUGGGCGCAAGCCUGAUGCAGCCAUGCCGCGUGUAUGAAGAAGGCCUUAGGGUUGUAAAGUACUUUCAGCGGGGAGGCGUUACCGACAGAAGAAGCACCGGCUAACUCCGUGCCAGCAGCCGCGGUAAUUC
rnacentral:rRNA from 1 species